AUUUUUCAAUCUAUGAAUCAAUCAGAGGCUCUGGAAACACUGGAAGUGCAGAUGAAUACAACAACGUCACAUCUGGAUUUCAGCUUGAAGGUCUUGAUAAGAGGAGCAGACAUGAUGGCACAGAGGAGAGCUCUGACUACAAUAAUGUGAAUCCUGAAUCAGCCUCAGGUCCAUAAAAAGAUUAUUUCAACAAAACUCAAGACUCACGAACAACGUCAGCAACAAAAUCCAACUCAGAACAUUUUGACAACGUUUAGAGAACUGCCAGCAUCCAGAUCAACAGCAGUUAUAUUAAACAAUGACAUGCUCUUGGUUUGAUGUCAGCACUGGAAGACUGAUAAUAUGGUUUAUCUUUGUAUUAAAAUCUUAUUGUGUUUAUUUCUGUUGUAAUAAGUGGAGGUUGGAUGGUGUGGGACAUUGUUUCCAUCAUGACACAAUUUCAUGAUUUGGUUCUGUGAGUUUGUUUCAGUCUCUUAUUUAUAAAAAAUCUCUUUAAGAUGUUCACUCACUUCUUCCUGAAUUUUAUCUGCGAUCUUUAAAGCUUACUGUAUGGACAUGUUUAUUGCAUAUUUUUGCAUAUCAGUAACAACAACAACAAAUAAUAAUAAUAAUAAUAAUAAUAAUGAUUUUCAUGUUAAUUACAUUACUUGUUGCCAAAUUGUGAUGCACAAAAACUGUAUAGUCAUUGUUCAGAUUUUACAGUGUGAUUCACGUCAUCACUGAGGCCAUGAAAGAGGAAAAAAUUGUGUAUGAUCAAAUUGUUUUCUGUAGGUGAUAU